rnacentral:rRNA from 1 species
GGAAUAUUGCACAAUGGGCGCAAGCCUGAUGCAGCGACGCCGCGUGCGGGAUGACGGCCUUAGGGUUGUAAACCGCUUUCAGCAGGGACGAAAUUGACGGUACCUGCAGAAGAAGCCCCGGCCAACUACGUGCCAGCAGCCGCGGUAAUACGUAGGGGGCAAGCGUUGUCCGGAUUUAUUGGGCGUAAAGAGCUCGUAGGCGGUCUGGUAAGUCGGAUGUGAAAUCUCCACGCUUAACGUGGAGGGGUCAUUCGAAACUGCCAUGGCUAGAGUUUGGUAGAGGAGUGCGGAACUCCCGGUGUAGCGGUGAAAUGCGCAGAUAUCGGGAAGAACACCCGUAGCGAAGGCGGCACUCUGGGCCAAUACUGACGCUGAGGAGCGAAAGCGUGGGGAGCAAACAGGAUUAGAUACCCUGGUAGUCCACGCCGUAAACGUUGGGCACUAGGUGUGGGACUCUAUCGACGGGUUCCGUGCCGUAGCUAACGCAUUAAGUGCCCCGCCUGGGGAGUACGCCGUCAAGGCUAAAACUCAAAGGAAUUGACGG